rnacentral:rRNA from 1 species
GGGGAAUAUUGCACAAUGGGCGAAAGCCUGAUGCAGCAACGCCGCGUGAGCGAUGAAGGCCUUCGGGUUGUAAAGCUCUGUCUUCGCUGACGAAAUCUGACGGUAAGCGAGGAGGAAGCCACGGCUAACUACGUGCCAGCAGCCGCGGUAAUACGUAGGUGGCAAGCGUUGUCCGGAAUUACUGGGCGUAAAGGGUGCGUAGGCGGUCCUUUAAGUGGGAUGUGAAAUCCCUGGGCUUAACCCAGGAACUGCAUUCCAAACUGGAGGACUAGAGUGCAGGAGAGGAAAGCGGUAUUCCCAGUGUAGCGGUGAAAUGCGUAGAGAUUGGGAGGAACACCAGUAGCGAAGGCGGCUUUCUGGAAUGUAACUGACGCUGAGGCACGAAAGCGUGGGGAGCAAACAGGA